rnacentral:rRNA from 1 species
ACACGUGGGGAACCUGCCCCUAAGUCUGGGAUACCAUUUGGAAACAGGUGCUAAUACCGGAUAAUAAAGCAGAUCGCAUGAUCAGCUUUUGAAAGGCGGCGUAAGCUGUCGCUAAGGGAUGGCCCCGCGGUGCAUUAGCUAGUUGGUAAGGUAACGGCUUACCAAGGCGACGAUGCAUAGCCGAGUUGAGAGACUGAUCGGCCACAUUGGGACUGAGACACGGCCCAAACUCCUACGGGAGGCAGCAGUAGGGAAUCUUCCACAAUGGACGCAAGUCUGAUGGAGCAACGCCGCGUGAGUGAAGAAGGUUUUCGGAUCGUAAAGCUCUGUUGUUGGUGAAGAAGGAUAGAGGUAGUAACUGGCCUUUAUUUGACGGUAAUCAACCAGAAAGUCACGGCUAACUACGUGCCAGCAGCCGCGGUAAUACGUAGGUGGCAAGCGUUGUCCGGAUUUAUUGGGCGUAAAGCGAGCGCAGGCGGAAAAAUAAGUCUAAUGUGAAAGCCCUCGGCUUAACCGAGGAACUGCAUCGGAAACUGUUUUUCUUGAGUGCAGAAGAGGAGAGUGGAACUCCAUGUGUAGCGGUGGAAUGCGUAGAUAUAUGGAAGAACACCAGUGGCGAAGGCGGCUCUCUGGUCUGCAACUGACGCUGAGGCUCGAAAGCAUGGGUAGCGAACAGGAUUAGAUACCCUGGUAGUCCAUGCCGUAAACGAUGAGUGCUAAGUGUUGGGAGGUUUCCGCCUCUCAGUGCUGCAGCUAACGCAUUAAGCACUCCGCCUGGGGAGUACGACCGCAAGGUUGAAACUCAAAGGAAUUGACGGGGGCCCGCACAAGCGGUGGAGCAUGUGGUUUAAUUCGAAGCAACGCGAAGAACCUUACCAGGUCUUGACAUCUAGUGCAAUCUGUAGAGAUACGGAGUUCCCUUCGGGGACGCUAAGACAGGUGGUGCAUGGCUGUCGUCAGCUCGUGUCGUGAGAUGUUGGGUUAAGUCCCGCAACGAGCGCAACCCUUGUUAUUAGUUGCCAGCAUUAAGUUGGGCACUCUAAUGAGACUGCCGGUGACAAACCGGAGGAAGGUGGGGAUGACGUCAAGUCAUCAUGCCCCUUAUGACCUGGGCUACACACGUGCUACAAUGGGCAGUACAACGAGAAGCAAGCCUGCGAAGGCAAGCGAAUCUCUGAAAGCUGUUCUCAGUUCGGACUGCAGUCUGCAACUCGACUGCACGAAGCUGGAAUCGCUAGUAAUCGCGGAUC